GGAUAACCUGCCCUUAGGUCUGGCAUAACCCCGGGAAACUGGGGAUAAUUCCGGAUAGAUCAUCGAUGCUGGAAUGCGCUUUGAUCCAAAGCUAUUGUGCCUAAGGAUGGGUCUGCGGUCUAUCAGGUUGUAGUGGGUGUAACGUACCUACUAGCCUACGACGGAUACGGGUUGUGGGAGCAAGAGCCCGGAGAUGGAUUCUGAGACAUGAAUCCAGGCCCUACGGGGCGCAGCAGGCGCGAAAACUUUACAAUGCGGGAAACCGCGAUAAGGGGACACCGAGUGCCAGCAUCCUAUGUUGGCUGUCCAUAUGUCUAAAUCACAUGUGUUAGCAAGGGCCGGGCAAGACCGGUGCCAGCCGCCGCGGUAACACCGGCGGCCCGAGUGGUGGCCACUAUUAUUGGGUCUAAAGGGUCCGUAGCCGGUUUGGUCAGUCUUCCGGGAAAUCUGACGGCUCAACCGUUAGGCUUUCGGGGGAUACUACCAGGCUUGGGACCGGGAGAGGUAAGAGGUACUACGGGGGUAGGAGUGAAAUCUUGUAAUCCCUGUAGGACCACCAGUGGCGAAGGCGUCUU
rnacentral:rRNA from 1 species